ACAGUUUCCGCAGCUGUAGAUGGAUGCUUUGAUAGUAGAAUCAAAGAUUCUUGUUUCGGAGAGAAACUAUCUAUAUGAGGAUGCUCUAAACGCCAAAAA
rnacentral:rRNA from 1 species